rnacentral:rRNA from 1 species
AGCGUGUAGGCGGAUUGAUAAGUUUGAAGUGAAAUCCUAUAGCUUAACUAUAGAACUGCUUUGAAAACUGUUAAUCUAGAAUGUGGGAGAGGUAGAUGGAAUUUCUGGUGUAGGGGUAAAAUCCGUAGAGAUCAGAAGGAAUACCGAUUGCGAAGGCGAUCUACUGGAACAAUAUUGACGCUGAGACGCGAAAGCGUGGGGAGCAAACAGGAUUAGAUACCCUGGUAGUCCACGCCCUAAACGAUGUACACUAGUUGUUGUGAGGCUCGACCUUGCAGUAAUGCAGUUAACACAUUAAGUGUACCGCCUGGGGAGUACGGUCGCAAGAUUAAAACUCAAAGGAAUAGACGGGGACCCGCACAAGCGGUGGAGCAUGUGGUUUAAUUCGACGAUACACGAAGAACCUUACCUGGACUUGACAUAGUAAGAAUGAUUUAGAGAUAGAUUAGUGUCUGCUUGCAGAAACUUGCAUACAGGUGCUGCACGGCUGUCGUCAGCUCGUGUCGUGAGAUGUUGGGUUAAGUCCCGCAACGAGCGCAACCCUCGUCCUUAGUUGCUAACAGUUCGGCUGAGAACUCUAAGGAGACUGCCUACGCAAGUAGGAGGAAGGUGAGGAUGACGUCAAGUCAUCAUGGCCCUUACGUCCAGGGCUACACACGUGCUACAAUGGGGUAUACAAAGAGCAGCAAUACGGUGACGUGGAGCAAAUCUCAUAAAUGCCUCCCAGUUCGGAUUGUAGUCUGCAACUCGACUACAUGAAGUUGGAAUCGCUAGUAAUCGUAGAUCAGUUAUGCUACGGUGAAUACGUUCCCGGGUCUUGUACUCACCGCCCG